rnacentral:rRNA from 1 species
CAGUCGCCGCGGUAAAACGAAGGGGGCUAGCGUUGCUCGGAAUGACUGGGCGUAAAGGGCGCGUAGGCGGAUUGUUUAGUUAGGCGUGAAAUUCCUGGGCUUAACCUGGGGACUGCGCUUAAUACAGGCAGUCUAGAGUGAGGAAGAGGGUUGUGGAAUUCCCAGUGUAGAGGUGAAAUUCGUAGAUAUUGGGAAGAACGCCGGUGGCGAAGGCGGCAACCUGGUCCUUGACUGACGCUGAGGCGCGAAAGCGUGGGGAGCAAACAGGAUUAGAUACCCCCGUAGUCCCUGUCUCUUAUAC